CGAGGCUUCAGUGGUAGGUCAAAUCUCAUCACACACCAGAAGACACACACAGGGGAGAAGCCCCAUGUUUGUAGAGAAUGUGGGCAAGGCUUCAGUCAUAGGUCAAAUCUCAUCACACACCAAAGGAUACACACAGGAGAGAAGCCCCAUGCUUGUGGGGAGUGUGGGCGAGGCUUCAGUCAGAGGUCAAGUCUCAUCACACACCAAAGGAUACACACAGGAGAGAAGCCCCAUGCUUGUGGGGAGU